rnacentral:rRNA from 1 species
ACGAGUGUAUAUUUAAGUUGUUGCAGUUAAAAAGCUCGUAGUUGAACUUCUGUUCGUUCAGAAGGCGUGCAAGCGUGUUCUGGAUGGACAUCCGCCUGAAAAAUCAUUCGGGUCUUCACUGAUUCAGUGAUGGAUCAGGCAUUUUACUUUGAAAAAAUUAGAGUGUUCAAAGCAGGCUUUCGCCUGAAUACAUUAGCAUGGAAUAAUAGAAUAGGACGCUGUUCAAUUUGUUGGUUAUUGAAUCGCGUAAUGAUUAAUAGGGACAGUUGGGGGCAUUUGUAUUUAAUUGUCAGAGGUGAAAUUCUUGGAUUUAUUAAAGACAAACUUAUGCGAAAGCAUUUGCCAAGGAUGUUUUCAUUAA